rnacentral:rRNA from 1 species
UCCGUAGGCGGGCAAUUAAGUCAGAGGUGAAAUCCCACAGCUCAACUGUGGAACUGCCUUUGAUACUGGUUGUCUUGAGUUAUAGUGAAGUAGAUAGAAUAUGUAGUGUAGCGGUGAAAUGCAUAGAUAUUACAUAGAAUACCGAUUGCGAAGGCAGUCUACUAACUGUACACUGACGCUAAUGGACGAAAGCGUGGGGAGCGAACAGGAUUAGAUACCCUGGUAGUCC